UGAUCAUCUCUAAGCAUGUUAAGGUGGCUGCUUUCUGUGUGGAAUGUUGGCUCCUGAAAUUACAACAAAAUUUUCCUCAUGUUUCCUUCCUUCUCCUUUUCCUUAAGGAUCACGCUGUCUUUCACAGGAUGUAAAGCCUCCUGAAAUUGCUAUUCUGUCAGUGUUGCCUCUCUUAAUCCUAAAACAUUUCAUCAUGGAAGUACUGUGGAAGUACAUGGCUUGCUCAGGGGCAGAUGCUGGAGCUCAGGGCCACCAGCGUGACAUAAAGGUGACUGGGCAGAUGUGCCUGGCAUGCCGAGCCACAGAACGGGCAGAAGAUGCAGCAGCUGGGGGCUUGUUUCUUCUUCUGGACCUGGAACUCCAUGGAGUCAGGAGAAAAGUUGUGCUUUUGUCAAAUACAUGUAAGGUCAAUGACUUAGCCAAUGCAGGAUGGAUGGAAAAAUAA
rnacentral:lncRNA from 1 species